GAAGUAAAAGUCGUAACAAGGUUCCCCAGCGUAGGCCACGGCGUCCUUGUCGUAGGACGCCGGCGCUCUCACACCUAUGGAAGCCUUGCACUCCAGUCUAUCCCGCAUAGGCAACAUCGACAUGGUGCUGGGAUUUCGCCCUCGCAGGUGAAUACCAGCAGCCGCUCGCGCGGCUCACAGAUCAAACGUUGGUGGCUCGGUGAGGUUGUGACCUCCUAUCGAGUUCAGAUAUGACCGGCCCCGUUGCGAAAGUGCCGGGAACCGUCGCGUUCCGUAGGUGAACCUGCGGAAGGAUCAUUACCGAGAUAGGGUCCGUCGGGCCCGAACCUCCAACCCUUUGCGUACCUUACCUUUGUUGCUUUGGCGGACCCGCUGGGGAAACCCACCGCCGGCGUUGAGCCGGUGAGCGCCCGCCGGAGGCCCUCAAAACUCCGUCUGUCAGUGUCGUCUGAGUACCAUACAAUCGUUAAAAACUUUCAACAACGGAUCUCUUGGUUCUGGCAUCGAUGAAGAACGCAGCGAAAUGCGAUAAGUAAUGUGAAUUGCAGAAUUCAGUGAAUCAUCGAAUCUUUGAACGCACAUUGCGCCCCCUGGCAUUCCGGGGGGCAUGCCUGUUCGAGCGUCAUUACACCUCUCAAGCCCUGCUUGGUAUUGGGCCGUCGUCCCCCGGGACGGGCCUGAAAGUGAGUGGCGGUGCAGCCUGACUUCAAGCGUAGUAACUUCAAAACCCGCUUCGGAAGCCUUCAGGCUGGGCCGGCCAGACAACCCAACUGUAUUU
rnacentral:rRNA from 1 species